UACGUAGGGUGCAAGCGUUAUCCGGAAUUAUUGGGCGUAAAGGGCUCGUAGGCGGUUUGUCGCGUCUGCUGUGAAAACUGGGGGCUCAACCCCCAGCCUGCAGUGGGUACGGGCAGACUAGAGUGCGGUAGGGGAGAUUGGAAUUCCUGGUGUAGCGGUGGAAUGCGCAGAUAUCAGGAGGAACACCAAUAGCGAAGGCAGCUCGCUGGGACGUUACUGACACUGAGGCGCGAAAGCGUGGGGAGCGAACAGG
rnacentral:rRNA from 1 species